rnacentral:rRNA from 1 species
AUUGAACGCUGGCGGCAGGCCUAACACAUGCAAGUCGAACGGAAACAGGAAGCAGCUUGCUGCUUUGCUGACGAGUGGCGGACGGGUGAGUAAUGUCUGGGAAACUGCCCGAUGGAGGGGGAUAACUACUGGAAACGGUAGCUAAUACCGCAUAACGUCGCAAGACCAAAGAGGGGGACCUUAGGCCUCUUGCCAUCGGAUGUGCCCAGAUGGGAUUAGCUAGUAGGUGGGGUAACGGCUCACCUAGGCGACGAUCCCUAGCUGGUCUGAGAGGAUGACCAGCCACACUGGAACUGAGACACGGUCCAGACUCCUACGGGAGGCAGCAGUGGGGAAUAUUGCUCAAUGGGCGCAAGCCUGAUGCAGCCAUGCCGCGUGUAUGAAGAAGGCCUUCGGGUUGUAAAGUACUUUCAGCGGGGAGGAAGGGAGUAAAGUUAAUACCUUUGCUCAUUGACGUUACCCGCAGAAGAAGCACCGGCUAACUCUGUG